rnacentral:lncRNA from 1 species
GGGGUCAGUCCAGAAGCCUUCAGAUAACACCAGGGUGUAACCCUGGCCAGAAAUCUUCAGUUGCUUCAGGACCUUUUCUAGCCCCACGCGACGGCUAGGUCCUCCGUGAGAGAAAACUGGUUCGAGAAGCACGGCCAACAUUCUCAAUGACCCGCAGAUGUGGUUUCCACCUGGCCAGUGCCAUGACACCGGCACACAUGGCGACAAGGAGAAGGGAGAAGAAAACCUCUAUGUUGUAUAUACCUGGCUUUUGGCAUAGCUGCCAGGAUUCACCUGUGCAAGCUUCCAGCUUGCUUAUCUGUGCUUGCAGCUUGAUUUUUCAGGCUACUUUCUGUUAGAAAAGAAAUGAUUUGGGGGCUGCUUUCUAUUAAAAGAAAAACCUUACCCAGGACUCCUGUACCCUCACUAUCUGCCUAAAUAAUUUCUUAAUGCCUAUAUUAUUCCCUUUAAAUAAAUUUUUUUGUGGUGUUUGUCUUAUUGUUAUUAGGUUAUGAGAAUUCAUUAUAUAUUCAAGAAAUAUAUAAUUCAUUAUAUAUAUAGUUUUAUAAAUUAAAUAUAAGUAUAUAAAUAUAUAAUUUAUUACAUAGUCAGGAAAUAUAUUCAGUCCUUUUGGGAAAUAUUUUCUCUCAGUCUAUACUUUGUCCUUUCUUAUACUUAACAGUAUGUUUUUUAGAGCAGAAGGUUUUACUUUAAAAAAUUAUUAAUAUUAUUUUGACUUAUACCUUUGGCUAGAACAUUACUGGUGUAUAGAAAUGGUGCUGAUAUCUGUACAUUAAUUUUGUAUCCUUAAACUUUAACUGAAUUC